CGUAGGUGGCAAGCGUUGUCCGGAUUUAUUGGGUUUAAAGGGUGCGUAGGCGGCUUUGUAAGUCAGUGGUGAAAUAUGGCAGCUCAACUGUCAGGGUGCCAUUGAUACUGCAGAGCUUGAGUACAGAUGAGGUAGGCGGAAUUGACGGUGUAGCGGCGAAAUGCUUAGAUAUCGUCAAGGACACCGAUAGCGAAGGCAGCUUACUAGGCUGUAACUGACGCUGAGGCACGAAAGUGUGGGGAUCAAACAGGAUUAGAUACCCUGGUAGUCCACACUGUAAACGUUGAUGACUCGCUGUUGGCGAUACACGGCCAGCGGCAGAGAGAAAUCGUUAAGUCAUCCACCUGGGGAGUACGCCGGCAACGGUG
rnacentral:rRNA from 1 species